UUCGCCUUGCAGCUAGAAGAUCCCUGGUUCGCGUCCCGGCUUUCCCGGGAUCUUUCUGCAUGGAGUUUGCAUGUUCUCCCUGUGCAUGCGUGGGUUUUCUCCGGGUACUCCGGCUUCCUCCCACAGUCCAAAAAUAUGCUGAGGUUAAUUGAUCAUUCUAAAUUGCCCGUAGGUGUGAAUGUGAGAGUGAUUGUUUGUCUCUGUAUGUAGCCCUGUGACAGACUGGUGACCUGUCUAGGGUGUCCCCUGCCUUCACCUGAGUCAGCUGGGAUAGACUCCAGCCCCCCAUGACCCUAGUGAGGAUUAAGCGGUGUAUAGAUAAUGGAUGGAAAAAAAUAAACUCCGUAAGAGACAGAAACGAAAAAAGGUCAGUUUUUUCAUUUUCUGAGACCGGAAGUGGUCAUCAGCAAGUGUCGAACCAAACGACAAGAAGAUUCUCAGAGGGCGGAGCCAGAGAGCAGUGAUUGGUCAGACAACGCGCUAGCUAUCGUCUGGUAGCAUAUCUGGCUGCUGUUGACCUUGUUUUUGGAGUAAAACACGGUAAGAAGAUAAAUACUUCUAACCUGUAGCGUUGUUUUGUUGUACGUUAAGUCAGCGACUUGUGAAGAGUUGUGUUUUGUCGUGUUUGAGCAGUUGGUCCGGACGCGUUGGCUCGCUAAGCGGCUAAGUUAGCUAGCUAAGCGGCUAAGUUAGCUAGCGGGCUAAUUAACACAGGUGGCUAACUUACCACUGAACACCUGUGUUAGUUGCUGGCACAGCUGUCUGUCAUUAUUAGAAGGAACUUCUCAACCUGUAUUUCUCUGCUGUGUAUUUUAGCUUUUAAAAAGUUAUUUUACUUUAAGGUUAACUGAAACCCGUUCAGCUGCACUGAAGUUUAACAUUUAGUUGCUUUGAAUUAAACCACACUUAACAUUGUGCAGCAUUACCUCUCUGAAUCUGCAUAAUUUCAUUAAAUUCUUUCUCUCUUUCACUGCUCAAGUUCAAUCCAGUAUGUAAAGUGACAUUAAUAGUGAAUAAACUAACAACCAGCCAUUGUAUAUAUUUAUUAUUGCAUGUAUUUGUAGUAAAACAUGAGAUGAAACAUCCUACUUUUGGAUCUAGAACUGCAAAGCUGUUCAUUUUCAGUCACCUGACGAGUUAAACUCCCCUUUUUAUGUGAAGUUGAAGCAGAAAGUCUGAAUUAACAAAGAAAGUUGUUUAUAAUUUGCGAUACCUGUUAUUUCUGACUGAGGCUUUAGUUUUUGUUGAGCUGAUUUACAUGUAGAAACUUUGUUCAGGAAGAUUUCUCAGUAGCUCAGAGGACAGGCUGCUUUUUACACACCGUUGUAAGAGAAUGUCUGUCAAUGCUUUCAGCAGAAUUUAGAAACACAACACUUCCUAAACAGAUAUUUUGAGGCUGUGAGGUUGAACGUUUGAGAGUGUAUCAGUGUGUUUGUUUGUGGUCUUUCUGUUUCUAGGUGGAAGCUGAAUUAGUGAGGAUGACUCCUGCUCCUGUCAUCUCUAAGCUCCUCACACAUCUUUACCUGCACAUGAGGAAAAUCACUCCUGUAGAAUGCAGAUGUUCAGAGGGAGAUGAUGCCACAUCUGGUCCAGCUGAUGGAAGGUCUUGAAGUUCUCUGACUGGCCUGGACUGAAGAUGGUCGUCUCACUGGAUUUAAGGUUCAGAUGCUCAGUAACAAACUCCACCAAUGAGCCAGCAGGGAAGCUUUAGGUUUAUUAAAUGUUGCUGUGAAGGUUUCGCUGUUUUUCUUUGUGAAUACAAUGAGCUCCAACUGAAACUUGAAUUAGAACUUAGAAGUAAAUCCUUCCACCUGAAAGCAUUUAGUUGCAUUAAUAACCUCAUAACAUUCUAAUUUUUAUUCCAGUCUUGGUUGGAAAUAGAAUCUCUGUAUUGAUUCAGGUAAAAACUGAACUUCACAGCAUGUUGGAGCAAAACAACCAGAUAAAAACUGUGAUGGUGUUGGAUUGUCAGACCGUAAUGUUGCAGCUCAAAGCAGCUUUUCUAUCUCAGUUCAUUCUGACAUUCAGCUAUAAAUCAACACAGCAGAUGGUGAUCCAUGCUGUGGAAGUCUCACAUCUCCUGAUUUAAUGGAGCUGCUUUGCACUUUUUACACUGUUUAUUCACCAACACUUUAUUUAAUAAAAGUCCCAUCUAGUUUUUAUGAGGAAUGUGAUGUUUUAAUUUCUCUGUGAAAAACUGCAGUCUAAUGGAACAGCUGGAAUUGUAACAUCUGUCCUGAUAUUGAUCAUGAAGUAUUGAUCAGAAUACUUAUGGUCAGCAGUCAUCCCUGAAGUUUUACAUUAAAAUCUUUACUUGUGUUGUGAACUUUGGUAAGAAGCAGAAACUUUAGCGUUGCCAUGGAUACAUGAGUGUUAAAUUCUGUCCAUGUUUCCAUUUUGGGAAAUUCAGUCCAGCAGAUGAGUUUGUUUUUACUGCCAGCUACAUUCAGUCUGAGAUAUUAAGAAUAAAUAAAGGUGCAUAAUGUGGAAAUGAACAGAUUUUAUUUUUUUUUAUUCCUACAGCAGCUGCAGGUAAAGUUUCAGAAUGUGGAGGAAUUUAGUCUCACAAUCACAGACAAUAAAUAUUAUCUGAAAGUCGGGUCAUUGUUGUUUAUCAGCACAAUACAAAAAGAUUCAUGUUAGAAAUAUUCCAGUUAAGACUCUAGAAUAUCAGGAUUUAUGUAAAUUUACCUCAAUAAUAUGAAUGUUCAGGUUAAGAUUGUGCAGUGAUAUUUAUUAUGUAAGUUUAGCUGAUUAAAGAUUAUGACUCUGCACUACAAUAUUAUUUAUUAUUUAAAUUUACAUCAUUAUUAUAAUAUUUAGGGUCAGACUCUACAGUAUUGAGAAUAAGAAAUCAAAUAUUCUAUAAAAUGUACAUACACUGAAUUAAUUUGGAUAUAUUUAAGUGAGACUCUACAAUAUUAUUUGACACAAAUCUAUCUAAAUCAAAAUUUUAAUCAUUUUUACUCCAAACAUUUACUGGACUGAUUUAAAUAUUCAAAUCACUCCUUUCUAAUCCUCUGCUGUACGUUCAAACCUGAGGCCUUAAAUAGAAACACACAAGUAUCUGAUUGAAGGAACUUCUGCAGAGUCCUGGUUCCAGAACAUGAUGAUAGAAUUAUAGACAAACUUUAACAAAACAUCCAGAAUUGGAGCUCAUAUCUUUGGCAGCUGUAAAGUUUCUGCUCCUUCAAAGUUCACAACACAAUGAAUGAAUUCCUAAAACACUCUCAGUGCUGGAGAGCUUUUGAUGCUGAAGCAGUGAUCAGUUUUUCUGUUUCUUCUCUGGAGAUGCACAAUGAGGGACGUCUGCAGAGACUGAGAAAGAGUCUCACCACAUCCUGACAUGAGGAAAAAGACUUUAUUGAAGACUACAAUGAGAAAAACUAUCAGACAGCAGACGGCUGCAUUCAAGAGAGGAAGACCAUCAAACAUCCACAUCAGCUGAUGGAGGUCCAAGAGUCUCACCCAACAAACAACCUACAGAGUGAAGACCUCCAAUCUGAUUGGACGGCCUCCUAUUCAGCCACAUUUUAGGCUGUUAGAUUGUUCCAGAUAAGACAAGUACAAGAUUCUUCAGAGCCGUUCUACCAUGAGCCUGACAGGAAGAACUCCAACAUCUACUGAAUGUUCCUAUGGUCCCCUCAAGGCUACAGUAGGAGUCCUACGAGGAUGAGCCGGUCCACCUGAUGGUGGCCAGUCGCUGCGGUUCAAAGCCAUCACCGACUACAUGGACUUCUACUGGACCACACAGAGGCCUUCAAACCGGACCAACAAGUUCAGCGACUCCCCGACUCGUGGGUCUGAGGACACCACUGAGCCUCGGUCCAGCCGGCCGUCAUAAACUUACUCUUUCAAAUAAAUAUCCUCCUAACCCCCUGGAAACCAGUGUUUGUCCUGUUUUUGUAUUGCUCCUCAGCGACCCUAGACAGCCGGGUCCUAAUGUUUUUUGAGCAACACACCAUACUAUGACGGUUUUACAAUGAUGGUUCUACUAUGGAACCAGUUUGACAUGUUCAGGUGUUCUUUGUGUGAAAACUCAGAGAUUUCAGGGAUCAGAAGGUGGUUUUCAACUUUGUUAACUUUCUGCUUCAACUUUAAACUAAAUUUCCUUGACUAAGCCAGCCCUCUGGACUUCCAGGAAGCUGUGUUCCUAUUGGCUGUCCAGGUGGCUGCUUGGUGUUAUCAGGAACACCUGAGCAGCUCAGUGUCUUCCUGCUUUAUUUAGCUGCAGACAAACAUUUCCUCUGCUUCUCUUCACCACUGAAUCGGGUUUGGCUCCAUUGCUUUAGUUUGUUCUUUAGGGUGUUGGCUUGCAGCUUCCAGCAGUAAAAUCGUCUUUAAUGUGUUUCUUGGUGUGUUUUAGCGCUUUGUACUGGAUAGUUGUCUUGGUAAAUGUGGUUCUUUAGCCACAGUUAGCACAUGGUGCUAAUGUGUGCAGUGAUUAGUGGAUUUGGUGCAGCUGAGUUGUGUCUUUAUCUUGGCUGUAGUGAGUCUUCAGAGGUUUCUGGUCAGACACAUUCUGUAUUCUUGUUUGAGAACCAGCGUUGGUUGUCCAGAAGGUAAGAGUUCCUGUCCUGAUUCUCUGUUCUCAGAGGUUCUCUGGUAGGCUGCAGGAGACUUUAGUGUUUGGGUUGUGCUAGUUUGGUUUUUGUACGGUUUCAUUUGGACGACUAUCUUGAGGCCCCUCCAUGUGGUUUAGUGAGGUUUUCUGGAACAGUUCUACAAAGCAACCUGCAGCAGAAGAGACUUUGAGAGUUUUUAGGAAGUUCUGGAGACCAGACUUUAGAGCAGCAGAAACAUUUGUCAGCAGUUUGAGCAGGAGAAGGUGAGCUUCAGAGUAGAAAUGAGACAGAAACCUUCUUGACCCGUGUGGUGAGGUCCUGUACCAAGAGUUUGAGCAGGUUGUGAAGAGUCUGUAGUUCUUUGGUCUGAAAGCACGAGAAGAGUCGACUCAUUAAAGGAGAAAACAGGAGAUAUUGUUGGUUCUUCUGUCACUCUGCAGUUUCCUUAGACUGAAUAUCAAGUUUAUAUUUUAAAUGAUUUCCCAUGUGAGCCCAAGAAGACUUCAAUAAACUCCCUCCAUCCCCUGGAAACAACAUAUUUUAUUACCAUGUGAAAUCUUUUUUUAAAAUAUGUUUUUGAGUUUUAAUCAUAGUUUUAGCAUAGUUUUUUCUCUUUGCUUGUUUAGUUUUGUCAUCUGUGUGAAAGGUGCUAAACAAAUAAAGUUGAAUUGAUAAAGUGAAUAAUUGACUAACUCAUGAUUGUGACAACAGAAGUAUUUUCAUUGUGAUUUAAGGGUUUGUUUCAUUUUUAAGGUUGGGGUUAAAAGCUUGACAGAAAAAAAAGAUUAAAGAAAUAAACUACAUUGAAAAAAGCAAUUAAAUUGAAGGAAAAAAGCAUUUAAUACAAUAAAACUUUUAAAAAGAAAAUUAAGCAUUAAAUACAAUUAAAAUAUAUUAAACACAAAAUAUAUAAUUUGAUAAUUAAACAGAAGCUACAAAACAUGUAACUAUGAA